rnacentral:rRNA from 1 species
GAUGAACGCUAGCGACAGGCUUAACACAUGCAAGUCGAUGGGCAGCAUAGAAGUAGCAAUACUUUGGUGGCGACCGGCGCACGGGUGAGUAACGCGUAUGCAACCUACCUAUCAGAGGGGAAUAACCCGGCGAAAGUCGGACUAAUACCGCAUAAAACAGGGGCACCGCGUGGUGAUAUUUGUUAAAGAAAUUCGCUGAUAGAUGGGCAUGCGUUCCAUUAGGUAGUUGGUGAGGUAACGGCUCACCAAGCCGACGAUGGAUAGGGGAACUGAGAGGUUGGUCCCCCACACUGGUACUGAGACACGGACCAGACUCCUACGGGAGGCAGCAGUGAGGAAUAUUGGUCAAUGGGCGGGAGCCUGAACCAGCCAAGUCGCGUGAAGGAAGAAGGAUCUAUGGUUCGUAAGCUUCUUUUGCAGGGGAAUAAAGUGCGGGACGUGUCCUGUUUUGUAUGUACCCUGAGAAUAAGGAUCGGCUAACUCCGUGCCAGCAGCCGCCGUAACAC